rnacentral:lncRNA from 1 species
UAUUGGUAUCCACUUAGGAUCAGCCUGGAAUAGUCUUCUAGAAUUUGAAUUUUCUUUUCUAAAAAAAUUUAGCCUGCUGAAUCUGAAUGAAGUCUGGAUCACGAUCAACACUUGAUCUCAUUUUUUGAUCUUCUUCUUCUCCUCUUCUCUAGUAUUUCUCCCUUACUAUGAGCUGCUACCAGAUGCUGGAAACUAGCAAGGAAGAAAACACCCAAAGCCUUGGGCAUGGAAGAGCUUGGGACGUUUCAAAGAAUGAGGCAUGUGGGAUGCCCAAGGGGAGAAGAGAAAGGGAGAGAAAGAGAGGGCAUGGGAGUCUCCUUUGUAGCAUGUGGGGUGCUGGUUGGAUACUCUAGGGACCUUAGGAGAGAACCCUUUAAAUAGGUAUGAGGAUUG